rnacentral:rRNA from 1 species
GAGUUUGAUCCUGGCUCAGGACGAACGCUGGCGGCAUGCCUAAUACAUGCAAGUCGAACGCACGAAGUUGAAAAGCUUGCUUUUCGACCAAGUGAGUGGCGGACGGGUGAGUAACACGUGGGUAACCUGCCCAUAAGAGGGGGAUAACAUCCGGAAACGGAUGCUAAUACCGCAUAUUUCAAACGACCGCAUGGUCGCUUGAUGAAAGGUGGCUUCGGCUACCGCUUAUGGAUGGACCCGCGGUGCAUUAGUUAGUUGGCGAGGUAAUGGCUCACCAAGACAAUGAUGCAUAGCCGACCUGAGAGGGUGAUCGGCCAUACUGGGACUGAGACACGGCCCAGACUCCUACGGGAGGCAGCAGUAGGGAAUCUUCCGCAAUGGACGAAAGUCUGACGGAGCAAUGCCGCGUGAGUGAAGAGGGUUUUCGGAUCGUAAAACUCUGUUGUUAGAGAAGAACAAGGAUGAGAGUAACUGCUCAUCCCCUGACGGUAUCUAACUAGAAAGCCACGGCUAACUACGUGCCAGCAGCCGCGGUAAUACGUAGGUGGCAAGCGUUGUCCGGAUUUAUUGGGCGUAAAGCGAGCGCAGGCGGUUCUUUAAGUCUGAUGUGAAAGCCCCCAGCUCAACCGGGGAGGGUCAUUGGAAACUGGAGAACUUGAGUGCAGAAGAGGAGAGUGGAAUUCCAUGUGUAGCGGUGAAAUGCGUAGAUAUAUGGAGGAACACCAGUGGCGAAGGCGACUCUCUGGUCUGUAACUGACGCUGAGGCUCGAAAGCGUGGGGAGCAAACAGGAUUAGAUAC